UCAACGUAUGCCAUACGUUUACCUUCCCAGUAUUCAAUUUCGAAUUCAAAUGUUUGGAGGAACUCCCACCAACGAUAAAUCCUAGAUAGUGACGAAAAUUUUUUACUGCAUUCACAACGGCCAACGUUUCCAAUUCAUAUGAUGUAUAUCUGAACUCGCAGGGGCUAGUUGCUCUGCUAAAGUAUUCGACCACAUGGGGCUUAAAGUUUAUGCGGUGCAAAAGAUGGCACCAUACCCGAUAGAGCUGGCGUCGGUAUGCAGUUCUAUGGGAAAUUGAGGAUCAAAAAUAAUCAAGAUUGCCAAGAAUCAAGAAGU